rnacentral:rRNA from 1 species
UUAAGCGACUAAGCGUACACGGUGGAUGCCCUGGCAGUCAGAGGCGAUGAAGGACGUGCUAAUCUGCGAAAAGCGUCGGUAAGGUGAUAUGAACCGUUAUAACCGGCGAUGUCCGAAUGGGGAAACCCAGUGCAAUUCGUUGCACUAUCGUUAACUGAAUACAUAGGUUAACGAGGCGAACCGGGGGAACUGAAACAUCUAAGUACCCCGAGGAAAAGAAAUCAACCGAGAUUCCCCCAGUAGCGGCGAGCGAACGGGGAGCAGCCCAGAGUCUGAAUCAGCUUGUGUGUUAGUGGAACGGUCUGGAAAGUCCGACGGUACAGGGUGAUAGUCCCGUACACCAAAAUGCACAGGCUGUGAACUCGAAGAGUAGGGCGGGACACGUGGUAUCCUGUCUGAAUAUGGGGGGACCAUCCUCCAAGGCUAAAUACUCCUGACUGACCGAUAGUGAACCAGUACCGUGAGGGAAAGGCGAAAAGAACCCCGGCGAGGGGAGUGAAAAAGAACCUGAAACCGUGUACGUACAAGCAGUGGGAGCACCUUCGGGUGUGACUGCGUACCUUUUGUAUAAUGGGUCAGCGACUUAUAUUCUGUAGCAAGGUUAACCGUAUAGGGGAGCCGCAGGGAAACCGAGUCUUAACUGGGCGUUAAGUUGCAGGGUAUAGACCCGAAACCCGGUGAUCUAGCCAUGGGCAGGUUGAAGGUUGGGUAACACUAACUGGAGGACCGAACCGACUAAUGUUGAAAAAUUAGCGGAUGACUUGUGGCUGGGGGUGAAAGGCCAAUCAAACCGGGAGAUAGCUGGUUCUCCCCGAAAGCUAUUUAGGUAGCGCCUCGUGAAUUCAUCUUCGGGGGUAGAGCACUGUUUCGGCUAGGGGGUCAUCCCGACUUACCAACCCGAUGCAAACUACGAAUACCGAAGAAUGUUAUCACGGGAGACACACGGCGGGUGCUAACGUCCGUCGUGAAGAGGGAAACAACCCAGACCGCCAGCUAAGGUCCCAAAGUCAUGGUUAAGUGGGAAACGAUGUGGGAAGGCACAGACAGCCAGGAUGUUGGCUUAGAAGCAGCCAUCAUUUAAAGAAAGCGUAAUAGCUCACUGGUCGAGUCGGCCUGCGCGGAAGAUGUAACGGGGCUAAACCAUGCACCGAAGCUGCGGCAGCGACACUAUGUGUUGUUGGGUAGGGGAGCGUUCUGUAAGCCUGCGAAGGUGUGCUGUGAGGCAUGCUGGAGGUAUCAGAAGUGCGAAUGCUGACAUAAGUAACGAUAAAGCGGGUGAAAAGCCCGCUCGCCGGAAGACCAAGGGUUCCUGUCCAACGUUAAUCGGGGCAGGGUGAGUCGACCCCUAAGGCGAGGCCGAAAGGCGUAGUCGAUGGGAAACAGGUUAAUAUUCCUGUACUUGGUGUUACUGCGAAGGGGGGACGGAGAAGGCUAUGUUAGCCGGGCGACGGUUGUCCCGGUUUAAGCAUGUAGGCUGGUUAUCCAGGCAAAUCCGGAUAAUCAAGGCUGAGGUGUGAUGACGAGGCACUACGGUGCUGAAGUAACAAAUGCCCUGCUUCCAGGAAAAGCCUCUAAGCAUCAGGUAACAUUAAAUCGUACCCCAAACCGACACAGGUGGUCAGGUAGAGAAUACCAAGGCGCUUGAGAGAACUCGGGUGAAGGAACUAGGCAAAAUGGUGCCGUAACUUCGGGAGAAGGCACGCUGGUGUGUAGGUGAAGCCCCUGCGGGUGGAGCUGAGACCAGUCGAAGAUACCAGCUGGCUGCAACUGUUUAUUAAAAACACAGCACUGUGCAAACACGAAAGUGGACGUAUACGGUGUGACGCCUGCCCGGUGCCGGAAGGUUAAUUGAUGGGGUUAUCCGUAAGGAGAAGCUCUUGAUCGAAGCCCCGGUAAACGGCGGCCGUAACUAUAACGGUCCUAAGGUAGCGAAAUUCCUUGUCGGGUAAGUUCCGACCUGCAC